AUCGCUUAAAGAAAAAAUUUUAAGUAACGCCUGCCCACUGAUUUAAAGGGCCGCAGUAUACUGACUGUGCAAAGGUAGCAUAAUCAUUUGUCUUUUAAUUGAAGGCUUGUAUGAAUGGCGACACGGGGUAAAAACUCUCCCAAUUUUAUAAUUUGAAUUUAAUUUGUAAGUUAAAAAGCUUACAUUAUUCCGCAGGACGAGAAGACCCCAUAGAACUUUAUAAGAUAUAACUUAACUUUUAAGUAGAUUUUAAUUAAAUUAGGAUAUAAACUUAUUAAGUUGGGGCGACUUGAAGUAAAUUAACACUUUAGAUUUAAACUUUAAUAAAUGUGUGUUUGACCCUUAUUUGAUGAUUAAAAAUUUAAGUUACCUUGGGGAUAACAGCGUAAUCUAAUUUUAGAGUUCUUAUCAAAAAUUAGGAUUGCGACCUCGAUGUUGGAUUAAGAUUCAUUUUAGGUGUAGCAGUCUAAUAAUGGGGUCUGUUCGACCUUUAAAAUCUUACAUGAC
rnacentral:rRNA from 1 species